rnacentral:rRNA from 1 species
CCUACGGGGGGCAGCAGUGAGGAAUAUUGGUCAAUGGCCGGAAGCCUGAACCAGCCAAGCCGCGUGAGGGAGGAAGGCGCAGAGCGUCGCAGACCUCUUUUGCCGGGGGACAAAAGGCCGGACUUGUCCGGUCCUGAGGGUACCCUGAGAAAAAGCAUCGGCUAACUCCGUGCCAGCAGCCGCGGUAAUACGGAGGAUCCGAGCGUUAUCCGGAUUCAUGGGGUUUAAAGGGUGCGAAGGCGGGCCUUUAAGCCGGCGGUGAAAUCGCGGGGCUCACCCCCGCCGAGCCGUCGGAACUGGGGGGCUUGAGUGCGUCGGAGGCAUGCGGAAUGCGCGGUGUAGCGGUGAAAUGCAUAGAUAUCGCGCAGAACCCCGAUUGCGAAGGCAGCGUGCCGUGCCGCCACUGACGCUGAGGCACGAAAGCGCGGGGAUCGAACAGGAUUAGAUACCCUGGUAGUC